AUUAAGAGCCCAGUGGGCCUGGUGCUGACAAUUAUGAUGGGGCCUAAUUACAGAAUCUUAUCGACCAAAAACACUAAAACAGUCAUACCUCCCAAGCGUCAUGUAUCUGAUGGAGUUGGUGUUGGAGGGAAACUCAAAGGAUGCAGCCAUAAGAAAACACAUACUCUAUGCUAAUCUCUUUAUCUAAUUCAGGGGUAGUCAACCUUUUAAUGCCUACCCCCUACUUUUGUAUCUUUGUUGAUGGUAAAAUUUCUUUACUGCCCACCAAUGCUGCAGUAACUUAUUUUAUAGCGAAAGUGCAAUUAAAUUUUUUUUUGAAAGGAGGGUUUUGUAUAUGUGUGUGUGUGUGUGCGUGUGCAUGUAGGGGGCUGUGUGUGUGUUAGGAGUGCUGUAUGUGUGUGAAUGGUGCAGUGUGCGUGUGUGUGAGAGGUGCAGUGUGUAUGUGAAUGUGAAUGGUGAAUUGUCUGUGUGAAGGGUGCAGUGUGUGUGUGAGAGGGGUGCUGUGUGUGAGAGGGGGCAGUGGGUGUGUGAGGGUUUCAGUGUGUGUGUGUGGGGGCAGAGUGUGUAUGAGGGGGCAGUGUGUUUGUGAGAGAGGCAGUCUGUGUAUGAGGGGGCGGUGUAGUGUGUGUGUGUUUUUGUGUGACAGGUGCAUAGGGUCUAUGCUGUGUGUAGGUGUGCGAGAUGUGAAAAUCUAUCUUAAUGUCUCCCCCUCCCUUCUUCUUACCUUUUACCAGGAAGGGGAGGCAUAGUGCUGCAAGCACUGGUGGUCCAGUGGUGGCAUGUUCACUUUAGCCUGCAGCUCCUGCAGCUGCAGGCUGACUCUCCUGUCCUCCUGCGAGCACAGCACUGUACUGGAGCAUUGCCAUGGUAAUGCGCAGCAAUGCUCCGAUCAGCCUGCUC